AGGUCCUUCAGCAUUGAUGCCAAAACGGCAGAUGAGGAGGAUGAGCUUUUGUAUGGAGAAACCGAAAGCAAUGUGUUCAACAGCUCAUUUAACAUGGGACAGACUGCAGAAAUGGAAAGUCCCACAAAGGAGAAGAAACAGACUGAGGCUAAACCCACUUACUGGCUUCUGUUAUGUCGUGAGAACGGAGUCUUAGAGAUAUACAGUAUCCCUGACUAUAAAAAGGUGUACUAUGUGAAGAAUUUCCCAAUGGGUCAAAAGCUCUUAGUUGACUCUGUACAGGUCACAGAUAAAUUAAGCUCUGGAGAGAGACAAGAGAAGGUGAAUGCAGAGUGCCCUGCCCUGAAGGAGUUACUGAUGGUGGGCCUGGGGUACAAGGAUUCACGUCCACAUCUUCUGGCCAGAGUUGAGGACGAUUUAUAUAUCUACGAGGCGUUCAGCUAUCCUCAGUCCUCUAUUGACAAUCACCUGAAGCUGCGAUUUAAGAAAAUUCAACAUGAUCUCAUUCUGAGAGAGAAGCGCUCAAAAAGUAAGAAAAAGGAUCCGGAGGAGUUCCAAAAGGAAGAGAAGAAAGUGGGCAAAAUGAGAUAUUUCAAAGACGUAGCUGGUUACAGUGGGGUGUUUGUCUGUGGUGCUUAUCCCCACUGGAUAUUUGUCACAUCGCGGGGCAGUCUAAGGAUCCACCCCAUGGGGAUAGAUGGCCCAGUCUGGUGUUUCUCAGAGUUCCACAACAUCAACUGUCCUCAUGGAUUUCUAUAUUUCAACAAAAUGGGAGAGCUGCGAAUCAGUGUGCUGCCCACCCACCUGACCUAUGACGCCCCCUGGCCCGUUCGCAAGGUGCCCCUCCGCUGUACACCACACUUUGUGGCCUAUCAUUUUGAGAAUAAGAUAUAUGCUGUAGUGACGAGCACACCAGAGAUCUGUAACAAACUCCCAAAGACCACUACAGAGGACAGGGAGUGGGAUACCAUAGAGAAAGAUGAGAGAUUCAUAUAUCCAACCAUUCCCCGAUUCACCUUACAACUAUACAGUCCAACAUCAUGGGAAGUUGUGCCAAAUACAAAAAUUGAAUGUGAAGAAUGGGAGCAUGUAGUGAGCAUGAAGACCAUUAGACUGAGAUCUGAAGAAACCUUGUCAGGGUUCAAGUCAUACAUUGUGAUGGGGACCAACCUGUCACUAGGGGAGGAGGUCACAUCUAGGGGGAGGGUAAUCAUUGCAGAUAUCAUAGAAGUUGUGCCUGAACCAGGCAUGCCUUUGACCAAGCACAAAAUUAAGACUUUGUAUGAAAAGGAACAGAAGGGACCAGUCACAGCUCUAGCGGACAUCAACGGUCUCCUGAUCACAGCUAUAGGGCAGAAGUUGUACAUUUGGCAGCUAAAGGACAAUGAUCUGAUGGGUGUGGCCUUCAUUGACACCCACAUCUACAUCCACACCCUGGUCACCAUCAAACACAUCAUCCUGGCCGGGGACAUUCUCAAAAGUGUGUCUGUCUACCAGUACCAGGAGGAGCACAAAGUCCUGUCCAUUGUCAGCAGGGACCCCAGGCCUUUAGAGGUGUACACUGCAGACUUUCUGAUAGACAACACACAGUUGUGCUGCCUAGUGUCUGACAGAAUGAAGAACCUGGUCGUGUACUCCUAUCAACCAGAAGCGAGAGAGAGCCAUGGUGGACAGCGACUGAUUCGUAAAGCGGACUUUAAUGCUGGCUCCAACGUCAGCAGUAUGUUCCGAGUUCGCUGUAAGCUCUAUGAUCCGUCCUCAGACAAACGCAUGACAGGUGCUCCCGAGAAGAGGCACAUCACCUACUUUGCAACAUUGGAUGGCAGCUUGGGGUUUGUAUUGCCUCUCUCGGAGAAGGUCUACAGACGACUGUUCAUGUUACAGAAUGCCCUGGUCACUCACAUUCCACACGUAGCCGGCCUCAACCCCAGAAGUUACAGGCAUGUAAUUGGAACUUUUCCUGAACUGAGAAAUCCUCAGAAAAACAUACUUGAUGGAGAACUUCUCUGGAAAUAUACCAACUUAAGUAUCAUGGAAAAGAUAGAGAUAGCGAAGAGGUUGGGAACAUCCAAUGAUCAGAUCAUGGAUGAUUUGAUGGAAAUUGACCGUCUAACCGCUCAUUUCUGAACAUGUUAUUCCAAAGAAUACAUUGUGAAAGACAAGGAUUGAUGACAUUAACCCACAGGACUGUGAAGUGCUAUGUGUACAUAAGUCUCUAAUCGAGGCAAUGGAAUGACCCCAAACUUUAUACUAGUAUUCAAUGCUUUGUUCAAUGGAGCCUAGCUCUAUAGAUUGACUAUACAAGUACAAUACUGCACAAGAGAGGUGUUUUAAACAUUUAUAUUUCAUGACACAUUUAAUUUCAUCUUUUGUAAAUGCGUGUACAUUGUCAUGCAAUUUUUUGUGGUCCACUCCCUCAGGAUCUGUUCCUGAAUCAGGCAUAAAUGUUUUGUUGAAGAAUAAAAGAUUAUUAUGACUACUGAG
rnacentral:misc_RNA from 1 species